GGAGAGAUGGCCGAGCGGCUGAAGGCAGCUGCCUGCUAAGCAGUUGUACUGCCAAAAGCGGUACCCAGGGUUCGAAUCCCUGUCUCUCCG
rnacentral:tRNA from 1 species